GCCUCUUCCAUUCCAUUAGUCACCAUCUUUUGGAUGAGGGUUUUUCCUUGUUACAAGUCUGAAGACCAGGCUGGGAAGAGACCAAGCAGCUGGGACUCUACAUGAAAGACUAUGCCACCUUUCCGAGCCACUCCAUACCAAUAUUUGCUCUUCUGACUAACUCCCACAUCUUGAACAAGCCCUCUGGCCUUGCAGAAUAUUUGCUUCUGGGUGGAACAGACUUGCAGCACAUAAUGGCUGGUCCUGUGGCAUUGCAGCAGCCCCAGCUUCAGGACCAUUUCUCUUUGGGGCACCAAAUGGGAAAGGAAGCACGUAUUUGGGGAACCUUGAGGUUCAGAAGAAAUCUGUCCUUCUGGCAAACUUUGAUUCCCUGUAGAAUUCAUCCCAUGUGCAAAAAAUUGAAUGAAAC
rnacentral:lncRNA from 14 species